GCGGAGGCGGGAAGUGCCCAAAGCAGAAGUUGACACCCAGGGGGUUUUUGGUGGCAGCCAGGACGGGACCGGGUGGACGUGGAGGCUGUUGUGGCAGGAGGUGACACUGCCAGAGAGUCUCUGUCCCGGGGCCAGACCAGACCUGCCAUUCGCGUCCCUGGCCACACCAGGCCCAUGGCGGGGCCACGUGGGGCGCGGCAGUGGCCCCGCGCGGGGAAGGAGCUGCACGCCGGAGGAGAGCGGCCGCCGACAGCGACUGAGAGACAGUGCAGUCACCCAUAAAGUAGAAAGCACUACUAAACAGCACUGCAGGGUGUAGUGUUUCCUACUUUAUGGAUGAGUGUACUGUGGGCUACGGAGAAGAGAGCACGGAGAGCGCCGGGACCCGCGAGCCCGUCGGGAGCCGCACGCGGGCUGAGAGCGGCCAACGGGCCCUGCCUGGCUCACAGCACCCACCCAGAGCUCCACCGCCCUCCCUGGGGAUGCUCUGCUUGUCCCCACGUGUCCCCUCAGCACCUGGGAUGGCCACGUGGGCGGGAGGGGUCGCCGGCCCAGUGUCCCAUGAGUGCCACUGAAGGGACCCAUCCCGUUGGAGCGAGCCUCACACUGGGGGGCCAGGUAGGCAGCAGAGCCUCCAAUGCACAUUUUUACCCCCAUCUUCAUUUUCCAUGUGGUGAAGCACUGGGAAGAGCUGGGCAGUGGCGACCACGUGCAGCAGGGGAGGCAGAGUGGGGUUCCUGGUGAUUGCUGGGUUCAGCGGGCUGAGGGACUGCUAAAUAAAACUCUUUUGGUAUUGA